rnacentral:ncRNA from 1 species
AAGAUUGAAGCAACCAGGAAAGUUCAGGUGCAGUGAUAGGGCGGUUCACAAGUGACAUGGUGGUCAGGCUGCUGAAUGGCAGACAGAGUGAAUGCAGAAUAAACAAGACCUGACAAAACAGUUGAAGAAACCAGGAACAAUAAGUCAAUGAAGCAAAGUGUUCUGCACUAUUUGAAGAAAGCAGGCAGGAUGAACCAAACAUCACUUCAAACUUAAACCAAGAAGUUGUUAAGGGGAAGAAUCAACAAGGGAGAGGACACAGCACUUCAAUCUU